rnacentral:rRNA from 1 species
UACAGAGGGUGCGAGCGUUGUCCGGAAUCAUUGGGCGUAAAGGGCGCGUAGGUGGCCCGGUCAGUUCGUGGUGAAAGCGCGGGGCUCAACCCUGCGUCGGCCAUGAAUACUGCCGCGGCUGGAGCACUGUAGAGGCAGGCGGAAUUCCGGGUGUAGCGGUGGAAUGCGGCAGAUAUCAGGAGGAACACCGAUGGCGGAAGGCAGAUCUCUGGGCCGUAACUGACGCCUGGAGGAGCGAAAGCAUGGGGAGCGAACAGG